UACGAAGGGGACUAGCGUUGUUCGGCAUUACUGGGCGUAAAGCGCACGUAGGCGGAUUUGUAAGUCAGGGGUGAAAUCCCGGGGCUCAACCUCGGAACUGCCUUUGAUACUGCAAAUCUCGAGUCCGAUAGAGGUGGGUGGAAUUCCUAGUGUAGAGGUGAAAUUCGUAGAUAUUAGGAAGAACACCGGUGGCGAAGGCGGCCCACUGGAUCGGUACUGACGCUGAGGUGCGAAAGCGUGGGGAGCAAACAGG
rnacentral:rRNA from 1 species